CCCUUCUUCCUUACUUAAUGAGCCCUAAUUUUGCCCAGGACAGCAAUAUACUCAGCUAAAAUAGCCAGCUUUCCACAUUCCGUUGAGGCUAAGGGCAGCCACGGGACCCAGUGCUGUCCAGUAACAUAUAAACAAAAGCCAGGAUGGGGCCUCCAGAGAAGCUUUUUAGAAGGGCCAGACUAGGCUAGCCAUGUUCUCUUUCUCCUCCUUUCUCCAACACAGAAGAGAACCAUCUUAAAACCAUGAGGUGACAUCCAUGAGGACAAAGACUUCCUGCUUGUUCUUGAGCCACUGAGGGUACCUCUGAGUUGCU
rnacentral:lncRNA from 10 species